ACUCCGUAACUGGCACUUUCUGUAAUUCUGAAAGACUCUUCUUGAUGCUGUAUGAUUGAAUAUGACCAUUUACAUCAUUGAUAUUACCACUGUUAUAUAAUUGCAACAAAUUGCAACAAAUCUUAUACAAAGUAUGUCAUGUAAGUGUCAAUCCAGGUAUCAUCUUUGUAUCUGAAGUUAUGAAUAUUGGUCAUGGAGUUGUAUCUGAUACAUGUGUGUUAGUCCUGGGUAACACCUACCAGACAGGAUUUACAUUGGUACCAGACAGCUAUGUAGUGAUGGUCCAUCAAGGACACUUCACUCUCCCAGUGGGCCUAAGAAGAAACUCAUCCCGCCCAGAUAGCUGUAUGCGGGCAUGGUCCUGCCAUGCGGGCAGGGGACUGGACUCGAUGACCUCUCGAGGUCCCUUCCAGUCCUAGAAUCUAUGAAUCUAUGGUCUUCCUGCUGAUGCAUCAGUUUCCGAGGGGCCAAUAGCCACCUCCUGUGAGUCAUCAAAGCAUGUAAUGGCAUGUGAUACGCUCAUAUGACCCUGGACUCCAUCUUGGCCCAGUAAUUUUCCAUGCACCUGGGCUGUGAGUUUAGUUGGGACAGCAAAAUUCCAUGCACAUGGCAGAGGAUAUAUAAGGACCCUGACAUAUAUCCAUUUUUGUCUUCAUUUUCUCUAGACUGGAUUUCUAACAAGGAAGUUCUAAACAAGGACUGAUGACCUCCAACCUGUUUGGGUGAAUUUAUCUGCAUGACCUUGUCAUGCAUCUGAUGCAAAGUCACCAUUUUGCAGACGGGUAUUAAAAGUGAAUUGCAAGAGCUGAGCAGUUGACCGAUAUGAAAGGGAAGAAACAGGUUUAAGGAUGAGAUGUCUGAAGCCUUCCUUACAGACUUUCCAAAAAACCCUCGAAAACUACUGACAACUGGAAAGUGUUUUUGAUGUCUGAAAGAGAAAGACAGGCAGCUAUCCUGCGACAGCAUUGAACUGGCCCGAGGCAGUGUUGCCAUGACGAAAGACGCUGCGGAGAAAGAUAGGGACUCCUGGAGGCAAUGAUCAGGCAGAACGUUCUGUUGGAUUGCAUAGUGAAAUUAGGCCAGCAGACAAUCCAGCAUCUUCAACCAGAACCGGUCAUGUUCUGCAGCCUCUCGAUUAUCUAGGGUAC